UAAUUUGUUCAAGUCCACCGGUUGGACGAU
rnacentral:sRNA from 1 species